rfam:Trichobilharzia regenti genome assembly, scaffold: TRE_scaffold0002526
UAACUCUGGUGUCUCCUCAUUUGCGGAUAAAUCUUUCGCCUUUUACUUAAGAUAUCCGUGGGGAGGCACAAUACAAUGAGUCUUGUCUUAUUUUUUUUAGCUCUGUCUUCCGAUGGAGU